rnacentral:rRNA from 1 species
GGCCGUAACUAUAACGGUCCUAAGGUAGCGAAAUUCCUUGUCGGGUAAGUUCCGACCCGCACGAAAGGCGUAAUGAUUUGAGCACUGUCUCGACAAUGCAUCCGGUGAAAUUGAAGUACCAGUGAAGAUGCUGGUUACCCGCGCCAGGACGGAAAGACCCCAUGGAGCUUUACUCCAGCUUGAUACUGGGAUCCGGUGCUGUAUGUACAGGAUAGGUGGGAGGCGAAGAAGUGAGGACGCCAGUUUUCACAGAGCCGAUGUUGGGAUACCACCCUUACAGUACUGGGUUUCUAACCUGCCGCCGUAAACCGGCGGGGGGACAAUGUCUGGCGGGGAGUUUGACUGGGGCGGUCGCCUCCGAAAGGGUAUCGGAGGCGCUCAAAGGUUCCCUCAGAAUGGUUGGAAACCAUUCGAAGAGUGCAAAGGCAGAAGGGAGCUUGACUGUGACACCGACGGGUGGAGCAGGUACGAAAGUAGGACUUAGUGAUCCGGUGGUAUGAAAGUGGGAUUGCCAUCGCUCAACGGAUAAAAGCUACCCUGGGGAUAACAGGCUUAUCACUCCCAAGAGUUCACAUCGACGGAGUGGUUUGGCACCUCGAUGUCGGCUCAUCGCAUCCUGGGGCUGUAGCAGGUCCCAAGGGUUGGGCUGUUCGCCCAUUAAAGCGGUACGCGAGCUGGGUUCAGAACGUCGUGAGACAGUUCG